AAACUAACAAGGAUUCCCCUAGUAACGGCGAGUGAAGCGGGAAAAGCUCAAAUUUGAAAUCUGGCGGUCUACGGCCGUCCGAGUUGUAGUCUAGAGAGGUGUCUUCUGCGUCGGACCAUGCACAAGUCCCUUGGAACAGGGCGUCAUAGAGGGUGAGAAUCCCGUCCGUGGCAUGGACUCCCGGUGCUUUGUGAUGCGCCUUCGAAGAGUCGAGUUGUUUGGGAAUGCAGCUCAAAAUGGGUGGUAAAUUCCAUCUAAAGCUAAAUACAGGCGAGAGACCGAUAGCGAACAAGUACCGUGAGGGAAAGAUGAAAAGCACUUUGGAAAGAGAGUUAAACAGUACGUGAAAUUGUUGAAAGGGAAACGCUUGGAGUCAGUCGCGUUUGCCGGGACUCAGCCUUGCUUCUGCUUGGUGCACUUCCUGGUACACGGGCCAGCAUCGAUUUUGAUCGCCGGAAAAAGGCUUGGGGAAGGUGGCACCUUCGGGUGUGUUAUAGCCCCUUGUUGUAUACGGUGGUUGGGAUUGAGGACCGCAGCACGCCUUUUGGUCGGGGUUCGCCCACGCCACGUGCUUAGGAUGCUGGCGUAAUGGCUUUAAACGACCCGUCUUGAAACACGGACCAAGGAGUCUAACAUGCCUGCGAGUGUUUGGGUGUAAAACCCAGGCGCGUAAUGAAAGUGAAAGGUUGGGACUCUUCGCUGAGGCACCGACGCCCGAUCCUGACGUUCUCUGACGGAUUUGAGGUAGAGCAUGUAUGUUGGGACCCGAAAGAUGGUGAACUAUGCCUGAAUAGGGCGAAGCCAGAGGAAACUCUGGUGGAGGCUCGUAGCGAUUCUGACGUGCAAAUCGAUCGUCAAAUUUGGGUAUAGGGGCGAAAGACUAAUCGAACCAUCUGUUAGCUGGUUCCUGCCGAAAUUUCCCUCAGGAUAGCA
rnacentral:rRNA from 1 species